UUUCCGUAGGUGAACCUGCGGAAGGAUCAUUAAAGUUUGCUUAAUUGCAUUACACAUGUUUUUUUAGAGAACUUGCUUGCAAGAACACUAAUAAUUUACUUAGUCAACAAAUAAAAAUAUCAAAACUUUCAACAACGGAUCUCUUGGUUCUCGCAUCGAUGAAGAACGCAGCGAAAUGCGAUACGUAAUAUGAAUUGCAGAUUUUCGUGAAUCAUCGAAUCUUUGAACGCACAUUGCGCCCUGUGGUAUUCCACAGGGCAUGCCUGUUUGAGCGUCAUUUCUCCCUCAAACCUCUGGUUUGGCGUUGAGUGAUACUCGGUUUACUUGAAAUAUAUGAAAAGCAUAACUAUUAGGUUUUACCAACUCGUUAUACUAAUCUACAAGUUUGACCUCAAAUCAGGUAGGACUACCCGCUGAACUUGGGGAUAU
rnacentral:rRNA from 1 species